rnacentral:rRNA from 1 species
CAGCACCUCAAGUGGUCAGGAUGAUUAUUGGGCCUAAAGCAUCCGUAGCCGGCCCUGUAAGUUUUCGGUUAAAUCUGUACGCUCAACGUACAGGCUGCCGGGAAUACUGCAGAGCUAGGGAGUGGGAGAGGUAGACGGUACUCGGUAGGAAGGGGUAAAAUCCUUUGAUCUAUUGAUGACCACCUGUGGCGAAGGCGGUCUACCAGAACACGUCCGACGGUGAGGGAUGAAAGCUGGUGGAGCAAACCGGAUUAGAUACCCGAGUAGUCC